GUGAAAGUUAAACUGUUAGAGCAGAAGACAUUUUAAGAAGAAAAGGAGAGAAAAUUCAGUAGAUAAACUGGUCGGGACACUGUGUUCACAAUGAAUAUCUCCAGGAAUAUAAAAAGUUCCUGUGGAGAAUCUCCUAAACCCAGCUGUGUAUCUAUGAUGAGUGAUGAAUCAAUGGAUAUUCCACUUAACUUCAGUUCAGGAGACUGUGAUGAUACAGAUGUGAGUAACACAACAGAUGGAUCAAAGUCCUUUACAGGGAAGCACAUGGAUGCUGUUUUUCAGGUAGAUGUCAUGUUAGUAUGUGUCUUGAUUUACUUUCCAAAUAGCAGGGAUAAGGGGCAUAUAGCCCCUUAAACGAAGAUUUUUCAGUACCACACUUCAAACAAAGGGGUAUGACAUUUUCCUGCAUGAUUUCCCUUAGGGGAUGUCUUUUUAACACAGAUGAAGACGUUGAAAAGACGUCUUGUGGACAUAGAUUUGCAUUGUGAGAUUUUAGUGAUUGUAAAAACUGCAGCGCAUGAGCUUGGAUAACAUUAUGUUAUCGUACACUGGUGUGAAAACAAAUAUUUAGAGAUAUUAAAGAUAUUCAGAGCUGUUGAAAAACAGAGUUGCGUCACACUCUGAUCUCGCCGCAUGGUCACGUGGUUUUGUGUGUUUAAUCUGACUUCAUAAUUUAGACAGUGCGCAUUAACAGUAAGUAUGCAUUAUAAGUUUCUCAUGCUUCCAAGAUCAUCAGUAUAUCCAAAAGUUAAAUUAUGUUAUUUCAGGACAUUAAUAAAAUAUGCACAAGACCUUUUAUUAGGGCUAUAUAAUUGAUACAUUUUAUAAUCGCUUUCCUGUAUAGAGCAUGGUGUUAGCAACACCAAGGUGAAGGGUUCAACCCAGGGAUUGCACAUACUAUAUAAUAAAUGUAUAGUAUAAUGCAAUAUAAGUCGCUUAGAAUAAAAGCGUCAGACAAAUGCAUAAAUGUAAGUCUUCAUAAAAAAUCAUUCAACAUCAGACCCUGAAGCCACUUUUAUUUAGGAACAACAUUUUAUUUUUCAUAAACAUCCUUACAAUAAAAGACCAGUUUGACAAAUUUUUGUCAGAUGUGUUCAUGAAAUACUGAAAUGAUGGAAUUUAGCCACUGUAAAUUACCCACCCUAAAACAUUGUGAGUAAUUACAUUUGUACAGGAUUUCGAGAUGGCUUUAGUUCACUUUAUAACUCAUAUUAUGAAAACGGCGACAGGCAGCGCAUUCUUCAGUUCAAAGCGCCACUGAGUGGAGUCAGUUGCGGCUCCAGACACUUUUGAUUGGGGGGGCAAUGGGGGAUCCUGGUCAUUUCAAGGGGGGUCUCAUGAAAACCCCCAAAAAAUACAGUGGACAUGGCUAAUAACUGCAUAUUACUGCUACUAAACAAAUAAAACCAGAUCCAUGCACACUGUGAAAAAAAUGACGACAGGCAAAACAAAAAGCCACGUCUUUUGACAGAAUAUUUAAGACACUGGUACUGUUUGAACCACGAGUAACUAAAACCCUUGGAUGCUAGCUGCCCCUGCGAUCCAAAAGAACGACACGGUUAUGAUUUUAAUUUAGGCUGUCUUGGUUUCUCGGCUGGGCCAUGGCUUAAAUCCCCGGUUAAAUCCUUUCCAUUUCAAAUAACGUAUGUGCAACAUUAAAUGCAAAAUGAAAAUAAAAAUUCAAUUAUAUCAAUUACAUUUGUAAUCAUAAAACCCCUGUAGGAACUCCCAAAUGUAAUUGAUAUAAUUGAAUUUUUAUUUUCAUUUUAAUGGGGGGUCAAGGCGUUUUUUGGGCGGGUCUUGAGACCCCCCAAGAGCCCCCUGGCGCCGCCGGUGAGUGGAGUCAACAUCAUAAGCCCGUUGUGUGCAUUAACGUGACAUCUGCAUCUUUGCCAUUCUUUGUUAUAAACGCAGCUUACAUAAUAUGAUAACAAUACAAGACCCUUUCCCAUCCACUGUAAGAAGUUUUGUCUACAUUCACCCCUUGUCACACUGUUAACUGUUUACCUCCAGCAAAAUAAAAGCAUCACUUCACACAUAAGACGGCAUCAUUUAGAAAACGAUCAUGAUGAUAUUGUAGCUCACAGAAAUGUGUCAUUCAUGAUGAAGUGCUGUUUUAUUUUUCUGCACCUAGUGGAGCUGAUGCUAGUUUUGAGAGCCCCAGAAUGACGACGGGCAUGUAGAGUUAUAAUUUAACCAGGUGGUGCGGCUGUCUUAUUUAUUGUUCUGCCUUCCAAGAAAACAAAAGUGUACAUAGGAGCUCUUUGACCUUUUUCAAACGCUUCGUUAUUUGUAUUAUUAAUUUAAAGCAGCCGUGCAACGGUGUUUCAUGCAUUCUGACUUAUCUACAAUAUUAAACCUGCUGUCUUCUCAUGCUUAACAUGGUCAACCUGUCAAAAAACGGGUUGACUGUAUUAUGUAGUAUUUCUGUGCUCGAUAAAGCCCCCCUCCAGCGAUCUUAUAGGUUUCGGUUCUCUUUUGUAACAACUUUUUUUAGUCCCUUAUUGGACAAUUCUCCCGGAAAAGCACGCGGCACGGCCACCGUUGAGCAGGAGAACAUGUGUAAAAACUUUUAAGCAGGUGAGAGAGAGAGAUCACACGUUGGCAUGUUCAGGUGUUUGUUGUUCACUGCAUUUUGAUGAUGAAUGUUAUAUAAACUGUGGAUAAAACACUGACUUUAAAGAUCGUUUAAAACUGAUAUAUGGAGCCGUCCCAGCGCUAACAGAUGCCUGACAUUUGGUGAGUGAAACUGAUGUCUGUGUUUUGUUGACAUGGGUGCGCACAUGCUUUGGUUCAGCCUACCCCUCCCCCCUGCAUGUGCUGUAUGUUUUCGGAAACAAUCAUAAGCUGUAUCUAUCUUUUAUAAAUGUGAUCAAACUAAAUACUCUUCGAAGUAUGCAGAACUACUCUAUAGGUACACAAGAUUAAUAUGAGAUUGGCUUUAAAACAUAUUGUGGAUGUAAUAGAUGAACACGCAGUCAUGUACAGGAAUGAGAAUUCAUGGCAGGGAAACAACAUCAUAUUGUCAAGUUAUUCCUUCCAAUACUGUAUAUAAUGACCCAGGAGUUGAUAGUGACAUAUAUUAUAUGGAUUUGUGGAUGUUAUUAUCUCAUGUUGCAGAUUCAUCGAUUAAGGCAUGGGAAUCUGAAUUGCAGAGGAUUCCGGUUCAGAAUAACACCUUUGCCUUUUUAAUAAUCAAGUGGAACUUAAGUAACUUUUGUAUCAACAGCUAUUAACUUUAAGGUCCAGAGUGUUAGCCUGGAGCAGACAGAUAACCACACUGCUCCCUCACUCUUCUCUACUCCCAAACAGACUAUGUUACUUCCCCUCCGGGAUAGAGAAAAAACACCAAAAUAAAAGUCCUUAAUGGAAUACAAAAUAAUGAAUUACCAUUUACAAAACAUAACACAAAUAUUAGAAUCUAUAACUAACUAACAAAAUUCAGUUUUUCAAUGUCUCUGUAUUUAUUAUCACAGUUAUUGAGAGGCUUCUGCCAGUGAUCAAAGCAUCCAGAACAGCUGAGUGAGUCAUUUAACUGCAGUUUAUUCACAAAUUUUCCAGGGAUUGUCAGAGACGGGAAUAGAACUUGGGUCCUAGUGGCCUAAAAUAAAACAUUACAAGGCAAAAUCUCUGACAGGGAUGUUUUAAUAUUAUCCCCUUAAUGCCAUGAUGCUAUGUUGCUGUGAGUUGCUGUUUCAAUAAGCUGCCUAAUAUACUAUACAGUCAUGGCCAAUACUUUUGGUCCAAAAGUAUUGGCUGUCACAAAAAUGUUGUGUUUAAUAUCUGCUUAAACUGUUGUGAUGUUCAUUCACAUUGUCCAUAGAUUAUUGUGCUGAGUGAUAAUGUGCAUUUUAAAUAAUAGCAAAUAAAGCAAAGAUGAGAAACUCAGAGCACUAAUAAGGCAAGAAUGGAUCCCCAUCAGUUAGGAUUUGGCACAGAAGCUAAUAUCCAGCCUAUCAGAGCGAAUUGAAGAGGUUAUGAAAAACAAGGCUGAGCACUGUAGAUAUUGACUGUUAUAUCUGCUUAAUUAUUUUUUCCAGUAAAAGUCUUUAAAACCUUUAACAUGCUUAUCAUUGCAUUCCAGAAUAGUCAUUUUGGCCAUGACUGUAAUCUACAACAACAGUUGCAAUAAAAUAAAUAGAAAAUAAAGUCAAUUUACAGCAAAAUAAUAAUACACAUUCAUAUUAUAUUGGUGAUCUGGUACCAUGGAGACCCGGGAAAAGGAAGUUUUUAGGGAAUAAAGUUAACAAUGCAGGCCUCCCACAAAAUCUUUUUUGGGAUCUUUAACUGUAUAGACAGAGUCGGUCGUAUUUUUCUGCGAAAAGCAAUCAUUCAUCAAUUACGAGACAGAAACAGAACUGGCCCUUCCAGCUGAGUCUAGUUUCCCCAUUUAUUCAUCAGUGAAAUUUGUUUCCUCACGACUGUGCCCUGUUGGCUUAUAUUAAAUUGGUUUACGGCUGUAAAUUCUGUGAACAUUGUUUUAUUAGAAUGGCCUUGCUUGUUUUGCAAUACCAUGCUAUGUACAGUCUUCAACAUGUGUGUGUGUAAUCAUGGAAAGCUCCUUUGAAACAAUGCACUUUGAACAAAGAACUAUAUAAAUAAAAUUGAAUUGAUUAAGAGGAGAGGCUAACAAGCAAAGAAAUCUAGAGAAAAAAAUUAAACAACUAUCACAUGACUUAACUUGAGACACACUGAUUCAGGACCUUUGUGAUCCAGAGGGAAAUUUACAGGCGAGAGGGCUUCACCUAAGUGCCAUCUUAAAGGAGGUUUAGACCAUAGAAUGUGCAGCGAGAAGACUGAAUUUUUUAAGCAAAAGUUAGCGAAGGACUCAGCUGUCAGGGUGUUGCAGAAGAACCCAAGUGCAGGCAGCGAUGCAAAACACAAAACUUUGACAAACAAAAGACCCACAAUGGGUAGAACUAUAACAAGAAACAAAUUUGAAAGAAAAGACUUCCCACAAGGGGGCUAAACAAGAACACAAGGUUUCCUCAAACUUAAUAGCAAAAAACAACAGAGACAAGACUGAAUAAUAUAAACAAAAUCAAGACAUGGGGCAAGUAAAUCCAACUGCAAGGUACUCUAACAAGAUGAGGGAAUUAGCACAGACAAGGCAACAUUGGAAACGAACACGCACAGGAUAGCAGAUACAAGGGCAUUAAAUAGGGAAACUAACAAAAGAUAAUUAAUAAGGGACAGGUGUCGGGAAUGAAACACUUAUGGGAAGCUAAACGAGGAAAAGAGAGGGGCGGUCCCUCUACUCACAAAACAUGAUGCUUCUGCCAUGAUCCUGUGACAAGACCAAGACAGAAAUGACAUGAUGAGGCAGAAUCAUGACAUAAGGACUUUAAUCCAUCCAUCCAUCCAUUUUCUACCGCUUAUCCGAACUACCUCGGGUCACGGGGAGCCUGCGCCUAUCUCAGUAGUCAUCGGGCAUCAAGGCAGGAUACACCCUGGAUGGAGUGCCAACCCAUCGCAGGGCACACACACUCACUCAUUCAUUCACGCACUCACACCCUACGGACAAUUUUUCCAGAGAUGCCAAUCAACCCACCAUGCAUGUCUUUGGACCAGGGGAGGAAACCGGAGUACCCGGAGGAAACCCCCGAGGCACGGGGAGAACAUGCAAACUCCACACACACAAGUCGGAAGCGGGAAGGACUUUAAUGACCCAGAUAAUUUAGUGGCGCAGUGGCUCAUACCUCUGCAGCAGCAGUCUGAAUCCCAUCUAAAAAAACAAAUAAACCCCAGUAAUCAAUCAGACUUAUAGCAUAUGUGACCCUGGACAUCAAAACCAGUUUAUAGGUACAUUUUUCGAAGUUGAGUUUUAUACAUCAUAUGAAAGCUGAAUAUAUAAGCUUUCCAUGGAUGUAUAGUUUAUUAGCAUAGGACAAUAUUUGGAUGAGAUACAACUAUUUAAAGCUGAGGGAUCUGAAAACUCUAAAACUCUGGUGCUUCCAAUUUGGUUUGUUUCCGCGCCUGAUAUGGCCAAUUUCACGCCAAUUACUUGGAGAGACUGGUGAGUGCACAAGUGAGGAAAUGACUUGGGCUACCAAGAUGCCUUAGCAACAUAGGGCUUUAUGGGAAUGGAGCGCUCUCUCUUCCAAUUUCAAGCCUUGUGAAGGAGUUAAAAUUCAUCAAUAAAGGAUAGAGAUUGCGCUCAAAGAAUCCUGUGAUCCCUGUGUAAGAGAUGCUGUUCCAACAUAAGCGACAGGGAGGAAAUGGAACCCAAUACAGCCGUUUUAGAUGCAAAGGCAGCCCUCAGACAUGAGGACAUCAGGGGACAAGUUCAACAUGGCAGAGGGGGACUUGGUGUGGAAUCAACCACACCCAAGUGGUGAAAGCGACACCAAAGGAACAGCAUCACCUGGUAGUGGAGGAGGUUCGGCGUCAAGAGGAAGCAAGUAGAUGCGCCAGAGCGGUCUUUCAAGCCCAGCAAGGCUGUAGAUGAGGUGAGACGGCAUUGAACAAUGCAAAAUCACUUGGAGUGAGCUGUGGUGUAUGGAAACAAACAGGCUAAGUUUUAUCAUAAGAGCUCCAUUUCAUGUGCCCCCUCACCAACAAAUCUGCAUGUUUUGUGUGGACAGGAUCCAGCCUGCCACCUAUGUGCAUCUCCAGCAAACUUUAAACAUAUACUUGUGGGUUGUAAGAAGAGCUUGACACUGGGGAGAUACACAUGGCACUACAACCAAGUACUAAAGUGCUUGGCUGCAGCAGUAGAGACCAAACGAGUGGCAGCAAAUGCCAUUCCCGUAAACACUGAGGCUAACUCACUAAAAAGGCCAACCUUUAUUCGGGAGGGGAAGAAACUGCAGGCCAAGCCCUUAUCCCCAGAUUCAGGUCUGCUCAGUAUAGCCAGGGAUUAGGAAUUGCGAGUUGAUUUAAAUCACUGAUUUACUUACCCCUUGGAAAACGCAGUGACCAACCUGCGGCCGGACAUGGUUCUGUGGUCCAGCACCAGUAGGACAGUCCUCAUAGUUGAGUUGACCGUAUCUUGGAAAGAUGCCAUUAAAGAAACAUAUGAAAGAAAGAUAUCCGGUAACCCAAUUUGGUAGCGGAGGCUGAAGGUCGAGAUUGACAGCGAAAGUGUUCCUGGUGGAAAUGGGCUGCAGGACUUUGUUUCCAAUUCCACCUCAAGGCUGCCUUAGAAAGUGGGAUCAGAGGACAGGCCCGACGGAUGGUAAUCAAAGAACUGUUGCUGAGAGAAGCAGCCACUGGCCACAAUAUGGGCUGCCAAAUGACCACCUAAUAAAAUGGUGUUGUGUGUUGAAAUGUUACGCCAUACUGAACCAGGGGCUCCGAGCAUGCAUUAACGGUGUCGGUGGGGCUAGAACACCCUUAGCCAAUAGGUUGGCGCGUAUGGUUGCGUUGAUUUUGGAAUUGUGUUGUAAUAGACGGGACCUGGGGCAGUGAAGCACGCAUUAACAGUGUGGGUAGUCGUGGCCUAAUGGUGACCAGAAGGUUGCCGGUUCGAUUCUCAGGGCCAGCGGGUAACAACUGGGGUGCCCUUGAGCUGCAGUGAUAGCUGCCCACUCCUCGGGGUGUAUAUGUGUUCACAGGUCCAGUGGAGGAUAAUCAAGAACUGGCCAGUGGUGCAGAAAGUAGAAGCCAAUGGCUGUGGUUUAGGUGGAUGGACACAGCAUGAUGACCUUGUAACAAUGCGACACAGACCCUCCGAGGGCCUCCCUUGGCUGAGGGUGUUUUGUGAUAAAGGGCCGAAACACCCAAUGGGAAUUUAUGGGAACCAUGCAAAGGAUAUUUUCAGCAGCACCUCACCAAAAGGCAUCUUUCACCCAGGAUAAUGGAUGUGAUGAAAGUGGGACACACAACUCAUGAGACGAUUAUGGCAGGGAAAGGUAAGUAUGCUAUGUAUUUCUAUAAUCAAUUAUCCCCAAACACAGAGGAUGCCUUCCCGACCAAACUACGUGAAACCUCAGACCUCCUCUCCUCUAGUCAUAUUCUUGACUGCUCCCCUCUCUCAUUCAUAGGGUGUGGUGGUCCUGUUGAGCAAUUCAACUGUGCUAAAAUAGUGGGAUUAUAACACCUAGACCUAUUAGGUGAAUCUGACACAGAUAAUGUUUUGUUUAACUACUGCCACAAAUAUUUCUGUGCUACUUAAGACUGGUUCUGUGAUCCAGGGCACAUAUAACUUAUAACUUUUGAAUGUUUACAGAAUGACAUUGGUAUGGAUAUGUUGGAAGAUAUUUAUUUAUUUAAUUGAUCUUUAAUUGCUGGUAAUUGCUGAUGUUGCCCUUGUGCAACUGAUUCUCAAUUCACGUCCCUUUUUACUUUUUUAGUGUAGUUGUUACUAUAUUUUAAUUCACUGUUAUCUUGUUAUUUCUCUCUCAGUCUGAGUGUAACAAAUCUCAAUAAAAUGGAAGGAAGGAGUCGGGAACCGGCAAACAUUAAACAAGUUUUAAUAUAAAUAAUAACAGCCGGCGGCCCCUCACGGACGACCGCCGGCGAACAAAACAUAAACAUAAAUACCAAUAUAAAUACAAACGUAAAACAAGUUCGGGCCCGGUCCUCUCUCUUCGACGGUCCGGUCGCUCGUUCCUUUUAUGCUCCCAUCUCCUACGUGAUUCGAGGCCGGUGUGCGCACAGCUGGCGCUAAUUCACAAUUACUCACCGGACUCGAACCACGGUCUCGCCCCGCCUACUCUACUACACUGAGUUACUGUAAUCUGACAGAGAAAAGUUGUUCAUCACUGGCAUCAGUUCUCAGAUCAAACUCCUCAAGUCUGACAGAACUGAACUCGAGUAACAAUAAACUGAAGGAUUCAGGAGUGAAGCUGCUCUCUGAUGGACUGAAGAAUACAAACUGUAAACUGAAGACACUAAAGUAAGAAAAUACCUGAAAGUGUGUCUAUUAAGGUCCUGAUAAAAGUUUAGUGUAAGAGACUCAACAGUGAGUGUCAGUCAACCUCUCUGCUUAUUUAGAUUCUAGACUAGCAGUCAAGAUCUCAUGAUUUAUACCUAUGAGAAAUGAAAAUAAAUCUACACACCUGAUGUAAAUAUAGCAUUAUAAUUUGAUUAUGGAUACACUUUAAGAAAUAGCUGUAAUUUUUACAGUAAAUAUUUAUAAUAGACCACAGUGAUUUGAAAAUUACAGUGCUAUUGUAUUUUGCUAUAAAUUGUGAGAGCAUGCUAAAUGACUGAGGUGAGUUUUGUGUACAAUACUGUAUUCUUAAAAAUGGCUAUAUUAAGUGUUUUUUUCUCUGUAGUCUGUAUGACUGCAGUAUUGGAUCUGAAGGUUGUGUUGAUCUGACUUCAGCUCUGAGAUCAAACCCCUCACAUCUGACACAACUGGAUCUGAGCAGAAAUAAUCCAGAAGAUUCAGGAGUGAAGCUGCUCUCUGAUCUACUGAAGGAUCCACACUGUCAAAUACAGACACUACUUAUUGAACCUCAUGGAUGAAAAUCACCAAGAGACAGUGGCAUUACCACAAAAGUGGCACAGGCGUGGCUUAAAAAAACGAACAGUCACCCCAACGCUUCCCAUGAAGUCACAGCUACUUGCGUAUACUACAGAUAUACGUACCUUCCAGCAGUCCAUCACUGUCCUUAAUAGAGUUGUGUAUUUCAUUUACUGAAGAUAUUUCAUACACUUUAAACUACUAGACAGUAUUUAAAAAUAACAAUGAGCAAAACACCUUAAUGUCAGAUAAAUACAUUACUGUGCACAUUUUACAUAUAGCUAAUAACAAAAAGGAUCUAUUUACUAUUGGAUAUAUAGUAUGACAUAUGUCAAUUAAGCAAUGACACAGCGUGUUGCAUGUGUCUGUCAGUUCUCUUCUUUCUCACGCAUGAAACACGGCAGUAUUUAAAGUCUGAUGUUGUUUAAUUCAAACUGAACACGUCAUUUAUCUCCUUCAGUCUUCUGUCAUUUGCGCUCAAAUGUUACAUUACUUCAGCUAACCUCUGUGUUUCUUACCAGCUAUUGCUUUCUCCGAUCAGUUUGUACUGAAUUAAAGAUUUUAUGUAUUUUGAUAUUUGAAGAUGAUGUACCUAGUGAUGUUUAGAAUAUUUUGUAUGUCACAGAAAAUGUAUGUUUGCUAAAAAAUUAAAAUGUAAUUCAUUGACUAUUCAAGGGACAGUUCACCCAAAAAUGAAAAUUCUGUCAUCAUU